rnacentral:siRNA from 1 species
UCCUGGUCUUAAUUGGCCGG